rnacentral:tRNA from 1 species
GGUGCUAUAGUCUAGGGGUAGGACGUGACAUUGUGGCUGUCAAAACCCGUGUUCGAAUCACGGUGGCGCCA